rnacentral:tRNA from 1 species
GGGCCUAUAACUCAGCUUGGAUAGAGUGCUAGCCUUCUAAGCUAGAAGUCGUGGGUUCGAAUCCCACUAGGCCCG